AUUGAACGCUGGCGGCAUGCUUUACACAUGCAAGUCGAAUGGUAACAGGUUAAGCUGACGAGUGGCGAACGGGUGAGUAAUGCAUCGGAACGUGCCCGGUCGUGGGGGAUAACGCAGCGAAAGCUGCGCUAAUACGGCAUACGAUCUAAGGAUGAAAGCGGGGGACCGUAAGGCCUCGCGCGAUCGGAGCGGCCGAUGUCAGAUUAGGUAGUUGGUGGGGUAAAGGCUCACCAAGCCAACGAUCUGUAGCUGGUCUGAGAGGACGACCAGCCACACUGGGACUGAGACACGGCCCAGACUCCUACGGGAGGCAGCAGUGGGGAAUUUUGGACAAUGGGCGAAAGCCUGAUCCAGCAAUGCCGCGUGCAGGAAGAAGGCCUUCGGGUUGUAAACUGCUUUUGUACGGAGCGAAAAGGUCUCCUCUAAUACAGGGGGCUCAUGACGGUACCGUAAGAAUAAGCACCGGCUAACUACGUGCCAGCCGCCGCCGUAA
rnacentral:rRNA from 1 species